rnacentral:rRNA from 1 species
GGAGGAAAAGAAACCAACAGGGAUUACCUCAGUAACGGCGAGUGAAGCGGUAACAGCUCAAAUUUGAAAUCUGGCUCUUUUAGGGUCCGAGUUGUAAUUUGUAGAAGAUGCUUUGGGUGUGGCUCCAGUCUAAGUUCCUUGGAACAGGACGUCAUAGAGGGUGAGAAUCCCGUAUGUGAUUGGCCGCUUUCGCCCGUGUAAAGCUCUUUCGACGAGUCGAGUUGUUUGGGAAUGCAGCUCAAAAUGGGUGGUAAAUUUCAUCUAAAGCUAAAUAUUGGCCAGAGACCGAUAGCGCACAAGUAGAGUGAUCGAAAGAUGAAAAGCACUUUGGAAAGAGAGUUAAACAGUACGUGAAAUUGUUGAAAGGGAAGCGUUGGCAACCAGACUCGCAUGCCGCUAAUCAUCCGGGGUUCUCCCCGGUGCACUUGGUGGUUUUCGGGCCAGCAUCGGUUUCGGUGGUGGGAUAAAGGCCUUGGGAAUGUAGCUUCUCUCGGGGAGUGUUAUAGCCCUCGGCGCAAUGCCGCCUACCGGGACCGAGGACCGCGCUUCGGCUAGGAUGCUGGCGUAAUGGUUGUCAACGGCCC